AUUCCGAACUCCCCAAAUAAUUGCUAAUAAAUUGAAAAUCUAUUUUAUGGUUAGCUAUAAUAAAUGUCCCGUGAUUAUUUUGUAGAUAUUCUUAUAAGUAGACUAGAAACAGAUAAAUGUGCAAUUUAUUGAGAACGUUAUUGCUCAUCUUCAAUGAGAAAUGUUCGAUUUCCAUUCGCACGCACUUGAUCCCUUUUAUCGCCCAAGGGGAUUGCCUCCUUCACUUUCGUUCAAGUUCUACGAUCGGUUAUCGUUCGGUAAACCCUUAAAAUUACAUGAAUAAUAAACACACUCACACUGCAAUGCCUCAUUGACAUUGUCCUUCAGUGACAGUACGCAACAACAACAAUGUUCGAAAGCGAAAAUGUGUAAACAAAGAUACACAAUGGGCGUCGCUGGGCGGGCUGCUCGGCGUCAGGAAGGGGGGGCUUGGAGACUCGGGGGCCCAAUGACUAUCAGAGGCGUCACAAUGCGAUCGCCGCAAGUACAAUUGCAUUGAGCAAUACUUAAGGACAGGAGUUCAAGCAACUGUAGAGUGCCAGCCCAUAGAUACUUUGCAUGCAGAUACAGAUACAUUUACAGAUACAACAGAUGCAGAUGCAGAUUCAUUCAGAAGAACUUCUGACACACCGUUCUUUGGCAGCGCAAUCUUCUGGCGGAAGCAGCGAUACCCAAACGUUUCUCUUCCCGAUUGCCAAUUUGAUUCACAACAAUGUGCAGCUAUAUCUCCGCCACAAUCAGAAUAAUCGGCUCUGCCGAGAAGCUCAGCUCUUAUCAGUCAGUCCCUGACGCGGCCGAUUCUGACCCAAAUUACGACAGCUUCGGUGAGCCUGAUACGUGGCGAAAUCUCAAAAAAUACAACAACAAUAAAUUUUAAGCAAGAAUUAUUGAACAAAAAAAGAUUUAUUAUAUAUGGUAUAUGGUAUACUCGUAUGAGUCCAAGUACUGUCAUGCAAUCUCGCAAACAAAAAAGCAAAAAAUAUAAAAAACGGGAACAACAAAAAGCGGAAACAUUUUGCACUUUCUUAUCAAGGCAUACGAAAUUGAUUUUAUUUUGUUGCUGAAAAUUUGCGCCACGAACGAAAAUUUGCGCUGCCUUGUCAAGUGUGGAAAUGAAUAUACUACAAAUUCUUUAUAACAAUAUAGCUCUCCCUCCGUCAUAUACAUAUAUAUACUGAUACAGUCGAGCAAACGCAUAGUUCAAAUUAUCGCAAUUUCAGUUUUUCCACAAUAUAGUUUUUUAUUUUCGCAAAAUAGUUACAGCGAUAAGGCUGAAACUCAGUACAAAUUAAAUGAUUUCCCCAACUAACCCGCAAUAUAAAUAAAACAAUAUCCCACCCAAUAUGAAAUCACUCCCAAAUGAUAUUAUCGAAUAACGUCUGACUCAAGUUCUGGUCUUAAUCAUCGCGGAAUUAUAUUUUUGACUGUUUUUUGAGCUGUCCAAAUAAAAACAAAGUUCAGUUUUAUUGUUGAUCUUUCGGGGCUUUAAACCUACAAGUUUUCGGUCCGAUCGGGUUUCGCCUGCCAAAUGGCCUGCAGCUGUUUCGGGAGUCUUUUGUUGCUUGCACUAUUUUUUUAUUGCGGCUUAGAUAAUGGAUACUCGAAAAGUGUUUUCCGUUUGGCCGAAAGAUAGCGCCGUAGCAGAGCUACAGCCACAGCAGCAAUGAAACUGGCGAGAGAGGCGUUGUAAAUACAAAUGCAAUGCUGCGUAAACAGAAACUAAAACAAUAACGUGACAAAUGUGUGAACAUUAAAUACGUUUAUUAACAAAAAAUAAAAUGCUAAAGAAAAAACCCAAAGAAAACUGAGAAAAACACCUAAAAUAAACGAAACGUUGCAGAAAACUCACUUUGCUGCUGACUUUGCUCGAAAAUUUCGGCGAGGCGGAGGCGAGGAAAGCGGAAAAGCGCAGGUGGAAAACGUAGUCUAUCACCUGGCGCUGGCCACACACGUGGAUCGUAGGUACUUAACAGUACAGUGCAGGGCAUAAGUGUAGGGCAGCCACAAGUCUGUCAUUAAAAUAAGCAAUAAACUCUAGUUCUAGUUUCCAUUUCAACUUUUAUUUUUAAUUUUUAUGGGAUAUUGUAUAUCCCGUUUCACAGCGCCUGUUCAUAUUUUAAUUUUUGUUAUAUCUUAUCUUAAUUGUCCGAAACGCACUGUAUAUGGACCAUAAUUAGCUGACGUGCAUAAGCCCGGCAACUAGACACAUUUAAUGCCACAACAAAUUCACAGCCAUCAAUGUCGGCGGUGGCAAUCUCUUGCCAAUCCGGCAAACAUUUAACAAACGGAAACAGCUGUCUCGUUCCCAUUCCCAUUCUAGUUCUAGUUCUUGUUCUUAUUCCCGAUCUUGGCCCAUGGGCCUUUGGGCCUUUUUGCUUUUGUUGCUUUUGUUGCUUUACUGCCUGCUGCCAGCUUUUUUCCUGGCAGGAGGCAUCUGCAUAUGCGACGGCCUGCCAAAAGGAAGCUGCUACCAAACACUCAUACAUCGAACUUGCAGCUAAAUGCUGGCUCAGAGUAAAGUGGAGCCUGGCCACAUGCGACGGCUGUGCCACAGUUCUAGCCAACAACAGCAGAAGCAAAUAGUUGCAACUGCCUGCAUAAAACUUGGCUAACGACUUUUUUCCGUUGGCGCUCUUGACUUUUGCAUUGAAAAUCGUGCAAUUCACCUGCUGCCUGCUGCCUACUGCUGCAGUAACUGCAACAACAACAGCAAUAACAAUGACGUUGAAUGCAUCUGCAUCUCGGCGGCAGCAACAACAUCGUCUGGUUGCAUGUUAAUGUUACAGCUGCACUUGCACUUGCAGCUCGUCGCCGUCGUCUUCAUGAAUGAGACGCUUACGCUUAAACACAGAGAGAAAAGCUGGGGUAGAUCUAAGCAAGAAAAAAGGAGUGUAAAGUGGCAAUAUAUGUUGCAAUAUAGGUUGCAAUAUAGGUUGCAAUAUAGGUUGCAAACUAUGUAUUCUCUACGAAAAAAUUAACUUGAGCCUUUUUUCUCAGUGCAUCUGGAGUCAACCUUUUCCUAGUUACAACAGCAACCCUUCUUCUGCAUUUUCUAGCUCUCUGCCCCUCCUGCAACUUCCACAUGCAAUUAUUUUUCUAGGCUGCAAAUUGCACGCUGGCAUCGCGGCUCUCCCUCUCUGUAUCUUUGUAUCUCGCAGUUCGCCGUGUAUCUAACCAUCUCUAUCUCAGUGUCUGCUGCCGCUGCAGUUGCUGCUGCUUCGUGCCUCUGCUUCUUGGGUCUUCGGCUGCCUUUUUGUUGAUUUUACAAGGUGUGGAAUGACUUUGGUAGCGCCUCAUCGUCAAACUUUAUAUAUGUGCGAGUCCAAGCAUUUGGCUUUGGCUUUGGCUUUGGCAUUGGCUUCGGCUUCGUUUUGGUUUUGGUGUUAGUGUUGGCUUGGGCUCUGGGUUUUGGCCUGGGCCUGGGCCUGGGCCUCGGUCUAAGCCAGGUCCAAGACUUGGCACGUUUAUGGUCGCGUUUUAAUGUAAUUGUUGCUGUAUUACAGCAAAUUUGUAGCCAUUGAAUUGUUGUUAGUUGGCCAUGCUGCUGUUGCUGUUGUAAUUUGCCAUUCAUGUUGUCGACCAAAGUGGCGAUUUGUUGAUUGUUGUUAGAAAUCCAAGCCCGGCAACACCUUCGGGUGAUUUGUGCAAAGCGGCAGACAUUAUUUUGUCGUGUGCCACAACUGAGCGAUUGUUGGUUAAUCGUUUGCGCCACUUUUUCCUCCGAUUAGCCCCAUCUGAUUAUUGAAAUUAGUCGAGUUUAGAGCCAUCGGUAAUCUGUCGAUGAAGAAAGCCUGGUAGCGUGCUAUCGUGAUAGCCCAGUAGCCAAGUGCCAAUUUCCAAUUGCAAUGCACUCUAUUAUCAAAACAUUCGCCGCAAUUGUUGUUAAUUUAGGGUCCUGCGGCAUUAAUACACCUGAAAGGCUCCUCGCCCUCGCCGCGAAUUUAUUAUGACAUUGAUGGAAGGGAUGAGCUGCAGGGCAGGACUCCAGUGGCCCAAUGAGUGAUUGACUGACUGAACGACUGACUGAGUGACUGACUAGGCGACUGAGUGACUGAGUGAGUGAGUGACGAGCGACUCGCAGUGCCAACGAGUGCCGAAGCUGUGUUAUUAGUUAAAUGGCGUAUAAUGGAUGAAUAACUUGGCGAAAAAGCAAACACAACAGAAAGGAAUAGCCGAUAAAAAGCUAGGGUACCCUAGAAUAGAACCAUAGAAAGUUAAUCUUACAAGUCUUACUUGACUUGAGAGAUCAAACCUUCUUCCAAUAUCACUAGAACCUCUCCGAAAAAAGGGUAUUUGGGAAUAAAACCCAAAGUCAAAGACAAAGCGUAUGGUUUUGUGUGUAUUUGAUAGCCAGACUGCGACGUCGGCAGCGACUACGACGAACUGCAACCGGACCACACCUUAAUAAUUACUUAAAAGGAAAAUAAUUUACGAAAUUGCAUUCAUAGUUCAACAUUGCAGCGUUUUGCAACAAAAGCCAGCCAUAACAAACAAUGGACAGCCAAGUCUAAAAAGCAAAAACAAAAUAUUGCGGGCAAAAAAGUGGGAGAAAGCCUUGAAAAAGCAGCGAGUAGUUAGAUCGGGUUUCUUCCUGUGCCGGACAUUGGCAAACAUUUGUCCAAUUCCAAUCCCUCCCCUUAGGAGGGGAUAGCCCUCCCCAAGUGACCUCUCACCCGGUUAUUGUCACAUUUUUUGUGGGGCCGGGAGAGGGCCUGAGAUAAACCCCCGACUGGCGGAGGUAUCUAAAUAUUACCUAAUUGCACUCCCGAGUCCCUUGCCCGAGGACCUUCAACAAGUUAUUUUAAUUGUCCUCGGGGAGAGCGAAAUUCCUCGGGCGGCCACAGGUCGUAUGAGUAAAGUUGGAAAAUAUUUGUCACGCUGCGGUCAAGCAAAUACGAGUCGGAAAACAACCUGUUCGGGCCACCCAAAAGGCACACAGACUGGCACUCAAAAUUUGACACAUUUGCUUGGCCCGAGAGACGUGUGUCGAGAGACGGGGCUCCAAGCCCAAAAAGCCUCAAAAACGAACCUCAAAAACUACCUGAAAAUGCAUUCGCGCAUGGAAAAUGUGCUAAGCAAACGCAAAUGAAUUUUGCAAAUUCGAAAUUCAAACGUGAAGCGACAACUACGCCACCGAAUGCAUAAAUUGAAAACUCAUGUGGAAACACCCAAAAGAAAAGUGGGGGCCUAGCCGAGUGACUAAGUGAUCGAAAGAAUUCUCUUUUGGAGAACUGUCAUCAGGAAUUUGUGUUUUUGUAUGCAAAACGAGUUCUGACUUUUAGAUUUGCUCGGAACCUUGAUUGGUUUAUUCGGAAUAAGCGAUUGAAAAUUGUUUGAAUAUUUUUUGUGGCGCAGUUUCUGUUCUACAUCGCAUUGACAGAUAUAGGAUUUCGUUAAUAAUAUUAACCAAAAAGUGGCCGGGCCAAGGCUACUCCUUCUGCCUAACUAAAGAUAGCCAUCCUGGCCAGACGCGAAUUGUUUACCCAGACAGGUCGCUCUGACGGCGCUCUGUAGCCUUCGAACUUUGGCCCGGCAACAGUUGGAAAGCGAAGGAAAUCCCGAUGGCAAGCUGGGCGGGAAAUAUGCAAAAGUAAAUAUGGGAAAUUGUUUUCCAUUCUGUUGUAUUCCUUUUAUUGUUUGCCAACGUCUGGCAGGUCGGUCACUCAAUAUCAGUUGCCAUAGUCAGUUGCGGAAAAGCGAAAAAACGAAAAAGUGUUUUAUUUAUUUCCUGGCCGUACAUUUGGAAGCGAAAGAAGGAACCGUUCCAUUGUAAAUAUAGAAACACAAAUAUCAUUAUGUAAUUAUUAAAAAAAUAAGAAAGAAAAAUGCAUAGUCAGUUAGUCAAAAGUAAGGGAGUGGCCAAAACAACAAGAGCCGCUCACGUGUAUCUACGAGAUACUCUUACUACAGAAACAGAGAUCAGAAACGAUCCCAUUGUUCACAAACAUCGCAAACACACACAGCCACGAGUGUGUGGAACUUGAAAACCAUGAACUGGAAAACCUUGAAAACUCUACUGCAAUUUAUGCUCAAUGCAAUGUGCUUUUUUGAGUUUUUUAUUACCAUUGCCGAUCCGAUUCGGGCCCAAGUCGAUUUGAUUUCUGCCGCUUCCCGCGCUCUGUCUAAUGAAUUCGAUUUGCUUUGGAAGCCUGGCAGCCCUGGAGUACCUGGCUAGAAUACUCUGCCAGCCAUCUAAUUGCAGAGCCCUAAUGGGGUCUGUGAAUUUCAUUAGCCGUCCAAUCAACGCAAUCUGUUUAUGCGUGGCUUUUCUUUUCUUUUCAUUUUCAGACAGCGCGUGUGUUCUUUUGGUUUUUCUUUCACAUUUUCCAUUUUCCAUUGCUCACAUCUCAUCUAUACAGUGGCUAGUAGUAUAUACCUUUCCCGGGCGCACUCGCUUGUAAUUUUAUUAGAGCCAGAGGCCUAUGCCACUGCCACUGCCACGCAUGCCGCAAGUGCAUUAUUAUUAUAAUUUCUAGCUCCUCAUUUUUUCGCAUUUUCAUUCUUUGACAGGGUUGGGGUUGCAAUUGUUUUAUAGAGAAUUCGAUUUGGUUAAGUGCGCUUCCCGGUUUCUAUAAUUAUAACUCGACUCUGUUUCUCUUUGUUACUUUUCAUUCCAUGCUGUUUUCUUUUUGUUGUCUAUUUUUUAAGUAAAUUAUUGUUAGCCAAGUAGGCUUGGCUGGCUCUGGCUUUGUGCUGGUUCUCCUUUCGACAAUUGCCAACAAGUGGGUGCUCUGUGAGCUGAAAGCUUUUUAUUAAUUAGUCCUAAUAUGCCUUUGACUGUGCCAGCGUUAGUUUUUGCAUAUGCCACUGGCAAUCAAUUAGAAAACGUAACUGGGAUCGAGUCAAGGCUAAAAGAAAAAUCGCUAUGACUUGGCUACCAAAAUGUCAGGCCUGAGAACUAGCUGUGAGCAAAAACAACAACGUGGGUGUUACUUUUGCGGCGCCAAAUUUGGCUAAACUAAAUUCACAAACAAAUUGCAUUCAUAAAUAAAGUCAAAGUCAAAAUCAGCAACAAAAAACGUUUAUUUAGAUUCGAAUUAGCAAUUACCCUGAAAAACUAGAUUUUUUGUGGCAUUCGUCACUAAUAAGACAUUUAUAAUAGUUUGUUUUUUAAGAAAAUGUAUCUAAGUAAAUAUAGUCCAUAUAAUUAUAAUCUAAUAUAAUUAUUAGAGUUCUAAAGUAAUCCAAAAUCUAGAAAUUCAAAACGAAAAAGAAUCUACAAAGCUACCCUUAAUUUUAAACUUUUUCCAACCUUGUUUGGUAGAAUUCGUCACUGAUUUUGUACAACUUUUUGAUAUUAACUUUAUUUAUUAGAGUAUAAAAUAAUCCUAUAGAUAAAAUUUCCACCCAAAUCCAAAUCAACAAAGCCCUCCUUAGUUUUGCACUCGACAGAAUGCACAUUUUUGUCUAAGCUGUUUGGUGGGUUUCUCUGGCAAAGUGCAACACAAUUAACACCCCGAAAUGCAUACAAAAAAUACAAAAACAAAAAAAAAUUACAAAAAACAACAAGCAUUUUUUUAACAGUAAAAUUUGUUUGUUUAGCGAUUCAGUCUGGCAUAGAGAGAACCCACUGUUAAUGAAAAUGAGCAACAAAGCCGCAGUGGCAGAGCUAGAAACUUAGAACCAAAACCGCAUGCAAAAUAGAUACAAAAAAAAUUUAAACAAGUUUUUUGUUUUUUUGCUUAAAAAGAAUUGGAGAAUUUUUCAGCAUAUACGAAAAUGCGCAAAAUACACUAAAUAAGUAGAAACGUCAAUAGGCAGCGAAGGAGAAUAAACGAGCGCACAAAACGAAACCAAAUUCACAUGCCAGGCCGAGACCGCGAUAGUUAGAUACAAAGAUAGAUAGAUGGUAUCCACUGGAUACCUACUGAGCUGGCCAGAGGGAAUACGGAAUAUGGAAGGCUGACGGAAAAAGCUGACGAAAGAGGCGCAUGUGGUGUAAUCAAAUAUGCAAAAAAUAUGUAUAGGAAAAUGAUAUGGAGAAGCAAAACGGGCACCAGACCAGAUUCUAUCUGCUCCCGAGGAAAGUGCAAAGAAAAUGAGCAAAAAUUAAUUUUUGUAAUGCAAUCGGCAAGUUUAAUUAUGCAUAAUUGGGAUUGGGAGAACCAGCAGAGGCAGUACAACGGCCAUAAACUUUUAACAAUCCAGUGGGGGAUCUCCGCCAGAGGAGUGUAAUCGAAAACUAGCUUAAAAAAUAAUGAAUCCGAAAGGCAAACAAUAUUCUAAAACUCUUGAUCUUCAUAGGCAUUCCCAUAUCACUGCCACCAUAAUUUAUUUAUAAGGAAGAGCUCUCAUGCUUUAUUGGGUGUUUCUUUUAUGGCCUAAACGGUCUGAGGAAGUUCAUAUUCUGGCUGUCUUGCAUGAAAUCUCAAGAUCAUGCCACUAUUUCUUUUUAUGACAAACAAAUUGCAUCCCGAUCCGAGAACUACCAGCACUACACACCCAAUUGACUUCAAAGCACAACCGUGUCGAAAAUGUUCAAAUGCAAUUUCAGAUAAAAAAUUCAAGACCAGUAUUUUUGCAAUUUUGACUCAUCUGGGAUGAGUCUUAAUAGUUAGGAGAUUAUCAAAAUCCCUAUUAAUUAGACAUAAUUAAUGACUAUUAAUUAAUAAGCAAGAUGGGGCAGUGCCGGCGAUUCAGGGGAUUGCAAUUUGAAUAAAAGUAGUCGCCAGAGCGGCAAAUUCAUUUGCAAUUGCCGUUUGUGAGAAAAAUCAAACAAAACAAAAAUAGAGGUAAAGGUAAAUAAAUUAAAUAUUUAGCUAGAAAUUUAUAAGGCGAAUGCGACACGUUGCCAAGCCCCGCUCCACACCCAGAGCCGAGAGCGCCCCCCUGGAAGUCGCCCCUGCCUCCCAGCUACGAAUGCGGAAUUAAGCGCUCAAAUUGUAACCAAAUAUGGCGCAGCAAGUUCAAUUCUAAUUUAUUUCGGCGAACACACAGUCGGGGCCCGGGAGGGGCUCUUUCCGAGCUCUUAGUGCAUUUUCUUGCUCGCUUUUUGCGUUCUGGAUCAAUUGAUUCAAGGUUUUCUAUUGCUGCUUUUGAUUUUAGUUCUUUUUUGUGCAGCGGCUUUUUCUACAGUCUAAGCCGGUGCACUAUGGUCCAGACGACCCCUUUUGUUGGCCAAAAUUCAAAUUUUAAAAGUUAAAAUAUCGAAGUCAUUUUAAUCGCAUUUUAUUCGGAGAAGACCGACUAUCAAUGCUGCAUACUAAAAAUUUUUAUAGAUGGCGCCACAUUCACGAAAUCGGAACUUAAACUCAGCUGGUCAUACUGAAAAAAGUUUGAAGUGUAAAAGUGAAAAAAAAAGAGUCUUUUUCAACAUCACAUUGCGCAAAAAAUACAACAAUUUUACCAAUCUUUAGACAUGAAUAAGAUUCAGUGGGGUUUGUACUACGUGUUGUGUAUAAUGAAAUGUUAUAUAUUGUUGUGGUGUCUUCGUAGUUAUAUGUUAAAGUGAAUCGUCUGAACUGUGAAAAUUGUGUAGAAAUCUCGUUUUUAAAAAGCUGUAGAAAGUGAGUCCAGCCUAGUCCAACCUUGAAACCUUUUCUCAUAACCUAAAAUUCGACAACUCAGAAUUGUUUGAAAUAUGGAAGUCUGUGAAGACCCAAGAACAAAAGUACAAAGCAAUUCUUGAUUUUUUUAAAUCAAGAGAAUGAAAAUCAAGAGCUUUUACAACAUUUGGAUCCCUGAAGCUGUUUCCUUUAUGUGGAACCCUUAAUUUCAUUGAUUUUUAUUAAAACUGUAUAUUAAUAUUAUGUUUUUGAUCCAAUACAACCAUAUUUUAAAACAUUUAAUAAAAUAAAAAAAAUAUAUAUAAAAA